AGCGAACGCUGGCGGCAGGCUUAACACAUGCAAGUCGAGCGGGCAUCCUUGUGGUGUCCGCGGCAGACGGGUGAGUAACGCGUGGGAACGUGCCCUUCGGUUCGGAAUAACUCAGGGAAACUUGAGCUAAUACCGGAUACGUGUGAGAGCAGAAAGGUUUAUCUGCCGAAGGAUCGGCCCGCGUCUGAUUAGCUAGUUGGUGAGGUUAUGGCUCACCAAGGCGACGAUCAGUAGCUGGUCUGAGAGGAUGAGCAGCCACACUGGGACUGAGACACGGCCCAGACUCCUACGGGAGGCAGCAGUGGGGAAUAUUGGACAAUGGGGGCAACCCUGAUCCAGCCAUGCCGCGUGAGUGAUGACGGCCUUAGGGUUGUAAAGCUCUUUUCUCCGGGACGAUAAUGACGGUACCGGAGGAAUAAGCCCCGGCUAACUUCGUG
rnacentral:rRNA from 1 species